rnacentral:rRNA from 1 species
CGUCCAGACUCCUACGGGAGGCAGCAGUGAGGAAUAUUGGUCAAUGGCCGAGAGGCUGAACCAGCCAAGUAGCGUGAGGGAAGACUGCCCUAUGGGUUGUAAACCUCUUUUGUCGGGGAGCAAAGCGAGUCACGUGUGACUCAUUGAGAGUACCCGAAGAAAAAGCAUCGGCUAACUCCGUGCCAGCAGCCGCGGUAAUACGGAGGAUGCGAGCGUUAUCCGGAUUUAUUGGGUUUAAAGGGUGCGCAGGCGGAAUGUCAAGUCAGCGGUAAAAUUUCGGGGCUCAACCCCGUCGUGCCGUUGAAACUGGCGUUCUUGAGUGAGCGAGAAGUAUGCGGAAUGCGUGGUGUAGCGGUGAAAUGCAUAGAUAUCACGCAGAACUCCGAUUGCGAAGGCAGCAUACCGGCGCUCAACUGACGCUCAUGCACGAAAGCGUGGGUAUCGAACAGGAUUAGAUACCCCAGUACCU